AAAACAACGCCAAUAUUUUAUUUUAUUUUAUUUACAAGGAUAAAAUAUUUAAUAAUUCCUUAAGGAAAUAUAAAAAAAUAACGUACUGACUUAGACUUAAAACUAAUAGCUAAUUAUCACACUAUUAUGUAUUGUAAAUACAUAUUAAUCUUCAAUUAAUUUCUUCUACAGAUUAAACUGUCUAAUGGAUUCAAGUUCCUAAACAGUAUGACAUACAAACAGGAUACGAUGAUCCCUGUGGAUCUCUCCACCGUGAGGUCGGAGAGCACCUAAAUCCACCAGUCCCGGUUGCUAUUAUAGAUACCUCUUAGCGAUCAUUACUCAUAGUAUAGAAUAUAUCCCACCAACCUGCAGUGGAGCAGCGUGGUGGAUAAAGCUGCGAUCUUUCUUCCACAUGGAGAAAGAGUUCUAUUCCCAGCAGAGGAAUGUUACAAGCUGAAUCAGACUCUGAUACGAAAAAAUCUACUAAGAAGUAAAAUUAAUAACAACGUUGUCACAAAACGGCUCUAACGAUUUUGAUAAAGUUUAUAGCGAUUUGCACGGCCGAAAAAUUUAUAUUUUCAAUAAAUAUUGCUUAGACUAUUUUCAGCCAAUUAGUUUGGUCGCACAGGCAUUUAUUUAAUAUUUUGCUCCCAAAUGAAAACCUUUUUAUUUUAAACAUAUACAUUUUGUCUUCAUACUAUUUAGAAUUACAGCUAACUUGAUCUCCAACAGAAAUGUUUUAUUCUGCACACGUUAACAUUUGUACAUACAUUUUCAAAAUAUUUUUUAAAAUGUAUCGAAACAAUAUUUACAACCGUCUAGAAAAAUCUGUACAAUAAAAAAAGCAGAUAACUCCUUAAGAAACGAUUUAAGGUCUAAUGGGGAGUGAAGUCUGGGAGUGAAGUCUGGGAGUGAAGUCUUGUGAAAUAGGAAGUCUGACCUGUCAUGGGAAUGACGUUUUACCGCGCCAAGUUUCUUGCGAGCAAAGAUAAUAUUUUUAAUUGUCACGAUAAUCGUUCAAAAGGAAUUAGCUGCAGUUGCGUGUCGAAGCUGACACACAAUUUUCUUGAAGAUAAAACUUCUUUUGACGCACCGCACACAUAUAUUUUCGUUGGUAGUAAGUUAGGCUGAUACGUCACGCUCUGAGGUGAAAGGCUCGAUCGGGUGAUCUCGGGACUUAUUGGAAUUAUUGCUUGAUUGCGAUCGCCAUGAAGUUUUCAAUUCUGUCGUGUGGUCUUAAGCACACAGUCUAUUUUUUUAUGUUUAUACAAAUAAAGUUUAAAAAAAAAGAAACGGCAAGUUCUAUUUUAUUUUACAUGGCAAUUAUUUUUAUAGUUAAUUAUUUCAAAUUUUGUAUGUAAUGUAAUAGAAACAAAUGAGGACAUACAGACAAUAAAAAUACACAUUUACGUUACCCAAAUAUUAACGAUAAUUUAAAAUCAAUAAAAUAUGUGUUUAUAGGGUUUUAGGGUUAAUUAUGUAUUUUGCAUUACUAUCGUUACUAUAAAAACAACCUAAAAAAUAUAUCAAUGAUAAUUGAUGACACUUCAAGAGAAUUAGUGUCACGUUUAUCAUGUAUAUUUUGAAAGUACUCAGUAAUGAGAUGUAAUUAUCUAUUUUUUUUUACAUAUAAUUUCAGCUAUGUAAUGGCUACAUUUAGUUCAUUUAAGUCGCGAGUGAAUAGGUUAUUUCUAGAUAAACGCUUCAUCCUAGAUCGCAAACGCGUCUUAUCAUGAAAAAAAAACAUGCAUUUUUAUGUCCCUAAACGAAACAUGAUUCGAAACACGUUAUAUACACUAUAUAUAGCCGUUGCUAUUUAACUUUUAUUAGUCGAAUUUGUGUAACGUUUUGUGCUCGACUACUCAGAACGUUCGAAAUUUAAAAUUACUUUAUGUUUGUGGUCAGACAGCGCCGUGUGUCAAGUAAUAAUUAGAGCUUAACAAUAUUCACGUUCGAAAUUUGAAAAAAAAAAAAAAACGAGGAUGCUUUAGACCACACGACUGAAGAAAAAAACUUCUGCACAAUGGCCCUGCACUGUGUUUUAGAUAUAAGAAACGUAACUGGCUAUGAGAGAAAGAGAGAAAAAAGGUAUGCUCACACCUUUUUCUCUCUCGCUCCGUUCACCUCGACUGAUCACAAUCACAUUCCCAAGUCGAGCGUGCGUAAGGAAGUUUCAUUUCAAUGAGUACGAUUAUAAUUACGACGUGUCGUGGUCAGACGCCAGCGGGGUCACGCGGGGUCACGCGGGUCACGCGGGGUAGGCGGGGUCACGCGGGGUAGAUGGGGUCACGCGGGUCACGCGGGG
rnacentral:misc_RNA from 1 species